rnacentral:lncRNA from 1 species
GACAGUGUUCUCUACCCAUUCAUUGAUCCUUUCAGCAAAUACAUGUGGCCUUAGCGUCCUGAAUUCUGACACUGGCCUAUGCAGUUCCCUAGAGUGGGUGCUGUGAAUAGAAGCAUCAGAGCCAUCAGAGGUUUCUGAUUUCUUGGCCUCACCUUCAGAACAGCUGAACAUCAGCUCUAGGAAGUGGGACCAAGCAACGUGUAUCUAUCUUCCCUGGCUUCCUGGGUGAUGCUUAUUCCCCGAGAUUGGCGACUCUGCCCCAGUGGAACAAGCAUGAGCAGGGCACAAGCACUCCUUGUCUCUGAGGAACUUCAAUUGCAUACUUCUUGCAACUUUGUGAUGAAAAAGCAGUUAACCUAAGAAACAAUCCAGCAUUCCUUAAUCCAGUCACCUCCAAAAGCACAUGAAAAAAGUGAGGACAAUAAAGAUAUGCUGUUUGACAUCUUGCAGGUGAUCCAGAGGAGAAAUAUACUUAUUGUCUUUAAGAAUUCAUCAUUUUCCUUCUUGGGCUGUGUGUUUAAAUCCAUGUAGGGGCAGGAAUGUCCCUCCGUAUUCCCAAAUAAAUGACAUGAUAAGCUGAAGAUGAAAACGUGAAGGACAAGUUUUCUUGGGCCAAGAUGAUGAAGGUAUUAUCCAGAGAACAGUGAUCUGGGGUCCCAGAUGUGCUCAGGGAGAGACAGAGCUUUCUCCUGGUAGGGCAGGAUAAGACCCUUUGCCUGUGCCUUCUUGCUACUAUUGUUUUGUUUUAUUUUCACUUUUUGUUUAUUCAGAAGAUGAAGAGCAAGAGGAUGUUUGAUUUCUAUCAACCAUCACUGGGCUCAGAAUGUAAUCACUGAAAAAAGUCCUUUGGCCAGCUUCUCUGAGGACAAGGCCUUGCCUGGGUAAUAAAAGCAGCUUGGCUAGGAACCUGUCACAAAUAAGCAGGUGGUGGCCCUGCUUCUUUGCAUCCUUUAAUCCUCCACUACCCUCAUUGGAGCCACCUCUUCAGCUGUUCAUGUUAUCCAGCAACCUGUGACACCAAAGGGCCUUUAGUGUCUGAUCUCUCCUCUCCUGUUCCAUCACUACUGGCUUUCUGAUAUCUGCAGACUGCAUAAAAACUCUUUUCAC